rnacentral:RNase_P_RNA from 2 species
UGACUAAAUCAGGUAGUCGCGUGGGUGGAAGCCCACGAGGAAAGUCCGAGCUCCGUAGAGCAGGGUGCUGGAUAACUCCCAGUGGAGGCGACUCUAAGGACAGUGCAACAGAAAUAAACCGCCAGAAAUGGCAAGGAUGGAAAGGUGCGGUAAGAGCGCACCAGCAUAUAGGUGACUAUAUGGCUAUGUAAACCCCGCCUGGAGCAAGACCAAGUAGGGCUCUAACAAGACGGCUGCUCGUCGUUGCCCGUGGUAGGUCGCUUGAACCCCUUGGCAACAAAGGGUCUAGAUUGAUGACUACUCAACACAGAACUCGGCUUAUAGAUUUAGUCACUGA